UACGAAGGGGGCUAGCGUUGUUCGGAUUUACUGGGCGUAAAGCGCACGUAGGCGGAUAGUUAAGUGAGGGGUGAAAUCCCAGGGCUCAACCCUGGAACUGCCUUUCAUACUGGCUAUCUCGAGUCCGGAAGAGGUGAGUGGAACUCCUAGUGUAGAGGUGGAAUUCGUAGAUAUUAGGAAGAACACCAGUGGCGAAGGCGGCUCACUGGUCCGGUACUGACGCUGAGGUGCGAAAGCGUGGGGAGCAAACAGG
rnacentral:rRNA from 1 species